GGCGCUCGCUCGCUCUCCCCGCGCGCCUGGAACAUGGUCGGGGAAAUGGAGGCCAAGGAGAAGCCCAAGCCCAGCCCCGAUUACCUGAUGCAGCUCAUGAACGACAAGAAGCUCAUGAGCAGCCUGCCCAACUUCUGCGGGAUCUUCAACCACCUCGAGCGGCUGCUGGACGAAGAAAUUAGCAGAGUACGGAAAGACAUGUAUAACGACACGUUAAAUGGUAGCACGGAGAAGAGAAGUGCAGAAUUACCUGAUGCUGUGGGACCUAUUGUACAGUUACAAGAGAAACUAUAUGUGCCUGUAAAAGAAUAUCCAGAUUUUAAUUUUGUUGGACGAAUCCUUGGGCCUAGAGGACUAACAGCUAAACAACUUGAGGCUGAAACAGGAUGUAAGAUCAUGGUCCGAGGCAAAGGGUCUAUGAGAGACAAGAAAAAGGAGGAACAAAACAGAGGCAAGCCGAACUGGGAACAUCUGAAUGAAGAUUUGCAUGUACUAAUCACUGUGGAAGAUGCUCAAAACAGAGCAGAAAUCAAAUUGAAGAGGGCUGUGGAGGAAGUAAAAAAAUUACUGGUACCUGCAGCAGAGGGAGAAGAUAGCCUUAAAAAGAUGCAGUUGAUGGAACUUGCAAUUCUCAAUGGCACGUACAGAGACGCCAAUAUCAAAUCACCAGCCCUUGCCUUUUCUCUUGCAGCAACAGCCCAGGCUCCAAGGAUUAUCACAGGGCCUGCUCCUGUUCUCCCACCAGCUGCCCUGCGUACCCCUACGCCAGCUGGCCCUACCAUAAUGCCUUUGAUCAGACAAAUACAGACCGCUGUCAUGCCAAAUGGAACUCCUCACCCAACUGCUGCAAUAGUUCCCCAAGGACCUGAAGCUGGUUUAAUUUACACACCUUAUGAGUAUCCCUACACACUGGCACCUGCUACAUCAAUUCUUGAGUAUCCCAUUGAACCCAGUGGUGUAUUAGGUAUGGCUUUCCCAACGAAAGGCUAAGAAUUCAAGAACGGUCUUAACUGAACUCUCAUCAGAGCUGACUUUAACAAAUACUUAGUUUUCAGCGGCCUUGAAAAAUUGUAGCCUAGCAGUCAGUGACUUACUUGCACUUUUUUUGCACAUAGAAUUAAAAUGCUAUUAAUUUGGUGUAGCCUGUACUAUAUAUGAUAAACUUAGCUGUGAUUUAUGAGUGUAUGGUAGUGUACUGACUGCUAUGUAUUCUGUACUAUUUGCUUUACUAAUCACCUAAUUCAUUGCAGUUCACAGUUAUUGACUUAGUUUUUAAACCACAGUCUGUAGGCUUGAGGAAUUGCUUUAAAAACGUAAAAAAAAAAAACUGGUAAAAAACUGGAAGUUGUUUUAAGAUUAGCAAAGAAUCAUCAGUAUUAAAAAUGGCAUUAUUUAAAAAUAGUCCUGCUGCAAGGAAGGCACUUCAGUGAAUAUGUGACUAGUAAAGCUCAAAUAUGCUUGGGUCUAAUAGAUUUCAUGAAAUACUGUAAUCUUGAGUUUGUAAAUGAAUGGAUAAUGCAGGUUAAGGCCCAGAUGCUUAAAAAUGCAAUAUUAAUCUGCACAGAUACGCUCCAUAUAUUAAGGUUAAAAUUUGAAACUACUGUGCCUUAACUAGUUGCUUUCUUAAAAUGAAUUUUUGAAAGUGAUCAAUUUUAAAAACCAUUUUGAUAAGCCUGCUGUUAAUGUUUUUGCAAAUGUUUUCUAACUGUCUUGGUAAUUGCAAUUUAACUAGGUGCGGUGGCUACUAAAGUUCGAAGGCACGAUAUGCGUGUCCAUCCUUACCAAAGGAUUGUGACCGCAGACCGAGCCGCCACCGGCAACUAACCUAUGACCUUCUGACCUCUGAACUCUUCACCCAAUGAUGACCUGACCAUGCCUGCCUGCUGAUCAGUUAACUGGUAAUCGCCUUUGCUUGCCUGUCUUCAGUGCAGCGAGCUGAGGCACUUGUCCGUUCGUCUUACCAUCUAACAAAAGACAAAGAACUUGUCCUCCAACUCAACUUUUUUUCCCUGUUUGGGUGAAAGUGGUUCUAGAACCUGCACUGAAUAGUAGUAAAGCAAUAAGGUCCAAUUCAUCCCUCCGCACUGAUCAUCCUUUAGUGUCCCACCCUAAAUGAAUGGUAAGAAGGGCCUCACUUAAGAGAUGGAGGCAAAUGUCCCUUUUAACUCCCUGAUGACAGAGGCAGUUACUGUGAGACUUCUAGGAAUCUUUCUCUUCUCAUAAAGAAGUCAAAGCUCUCUUUGAAUGUACUGUGUGAUGAUGCAUCAUGCAUGAACCUUUGGUCAGGGAUGUCAUUGGUGAAGGGAUUCCUAAAAGUAUUCAAAAUUUGACAUGCAGUGUAGUCACUACCAGUGCCCUCAAAGGGCAGAAGAUGCAGCCUUUUUUAUAUUACCUGCCAAAUUGGGUGUUUUUAAGAAGAAAAAAGUGCCAUGAAAGAUAGGUUACUGAAUUUUUGAACUACAUCAAUGCAUAAACAAAACAGCAACACUAUUUAAGCUAAACCUGAGAUAAAGUUCCUUUUACUAUACAACUUCCUUAAAAGAUUACACGAGUACAAGGUACAUGCAUUAUGUGUCACAUUACUGGGCAAACUGUUCAAAUAUUUUUUUAAACCUCCCUGUAUAGAGAAAAUUCAUUAAGGAUGUAAAAGCCAUGCUUGCCUAUUUGCUGUAUACAUGUAAUGAAAUUGUAGAUAAAGUGUAGUGCAUUGAAACAAAUUGAAAAAGUAGAUACUUUUACUAUACAAGGGUGCUGGUGCAGAAAAAAAUAUAUUUUUGGAAAUGUAGCAUUUUAUACUUUCAAGUGUUAUAAAAAAGAACAAAGAAACCCUUUAUUUCAUUAAAUAAUUUUUUCUGGUGGUUGUCGAGAAACAAAAGACCAAAAGAGCCUUUUUGUCUUUCUUUUUUAUUUUUUAAGUAUUGGAAUAAGUAUAAAGAAAAGAAAGUGCCUUAUUUUCUUCAUGGUCAUUUAGUCAGAUGUCUCGUAUAAUCAGCUCCUCCCUCAGACAGCAAGUAAAUGCAUGCCACUCAGUCGCCCAGUAUGUGAAAAGAAGCUGUGAAGAAAGACAAAUAAGUUGACCAUUUAAAUUACCUGAUUUUUGCCACGACAUGAUGUAACUGCCAGGAUAUAUACUGUGAAAUAGAAUCGUACCACCAACAGCCAACCGCAAUAUUUUUGUAACAUGUUCCCUCUUCAAUUGUAGACAGUAUAUUUUUAUAGUCCUUGCUCAGCCUUAAACCAAAGGGUUCUAAGAUGCAGUCUCAUUAUAAAUGAAAGCAUUAAAUGACAGUAUUUAUAUAGUGGCAAGUGUUAAUUGUUUAUCCUUUGGAUUCAGUUGUACUGUUUCUAUUUGAAAUAGAUGUGGGAAAGUACAGCAGAACUCGAACUUGCUACAAGAUAAUUUUGUCAGUGAUUAAAUUAAACAUUCAUACAGGCCAUCUAUCUUUUAAACAUGUUUUAAGUUUUUAGGUGUUUGCUCUACAAUGCCAAAUAGUGUAACACAGUGCAUAAUUAUCAUCAAACUCCUACUUGAUGAAUGUUAACUGCUGGUUGCGCUUUACUGAAAAGAUAAAAAAGUAUCAAUUAACUAUCUUGAAAGUCUAGUUACGCUUCUAGUGUCAGGAUAAAUUCAUUGAACUGGGCUAGUGUGAAACACUUUACGCACAAAGGUGAGUCA